CAGUCGCCACGGGAAUACGGAGGGCGCGAGCGUUACCCGGAUUUACUGGGCGUAAAGGGCGUGUAGGCGGCCUGGGGCGUCCCAUGUGAAAGGCCACGGCUCAACCGUGGAGGAGCGUGGGAUACGCUCAGGCUAGAGGGUGGGAGAGGGUGGUGGAAUUCCCGGAGUAGCGGUGAAAUGCGCAGAUACCGGGAGGAACGCCGAUAGCGAAGGCAGCCACCUGGUCCACUUCUGACGCUGAGGCGCGACAGCGUGGGGAGCAAACCGGAUUAGAUACCCGCGUAGUCCCUGUCUCUUAUAC
rnacentral:rRNA from 1 species